UUUCCCUCUCCUCUUUUCUUCUUCCUCAUUCUUAUACACAACGAAUAUAUCUCUAUACGUGACCCCCACAUUCCUCAACCUCUCAAUCACACCAAUUAUAUCUCAAUAUUUUCUCUUGCAAAGCAAGGUAUUUCUCUGCAUUUAAUUUUUAAUCAAUCCUUUUCAUCUUCUACAAUUUCUCUUUCCAUUUUGUUUAAUUAAUACACCUUUUAACGGUUACAUUCUCACUCUUCAAUGCUCCUCAAAACCCAUUAACCGGCUUCCUUUCAUCUUUCUACUCAACCCAUUUUAACAAAAAAAAAAGGG
rnacentral:lncRNA from 1 species